rnacentral:rRNA from 1 species
UGUUUCGGCUAGGGGGCCAUCCCGGCUUACCAACCCGAUGCAAACUGCGAAUACCGGAGAAUGUUAUCACGGGAGACACACGGCGGGUGCUAACGUCCGUCGUGAAGAGGGAAACAACCCAGACCGCCAGCUAAGGUCCCAAAGUCAUGGUUAAGUGGGAAACGAUGUGGGAAGGCCCAGACAGCCAGGAUGUUGGCUUAGAAGCAGCCAUCAUUUAAAGAAAGCGUAAUAGCUCACUGGUCGAGUCGGCCUGCGCGGAAGAUGUAACGGGGCUAAACCAUGCACCGAAGCUGCGGCAGCGAACGUAUCACCCAAGACAACUUUGCGGAGUUGACGAUUGACGGAGCGAAGCGACGUCAAAGCGUUCAUUAAAGUCGAGUUGGCUUAGGGAUACGUUCGUUGGGUAGGGGAGCGUUCUGUAAGCCAGUGAAGGUGUGUCGUGAGGCAUGCUGGAGGUAUCAGAAGUGCGAAUGCUGACAUAAGUAACGAUAAAGCGGGUGAAAAGCCCGCUCGCCGGAAGACCAAGGGUUCCUGUCCAACGUUAAUCGGGGCAGGGUGAGUCGACCCCUAAGGCGAGGCCGAAAGGCGUAGUCGAUGGGAAACGGGUUAAUAUUCCCGUACUUGGUGUUACUGCGAAGGGGGGACGGAGAAGGCUAUGUUGGCCGGGCGACGGUUGUCCCGGUUUAAGCGUGUAGGUGUGUGUUCCAGGUAAAUCCGGUUCACUUUAACACUGAGGCGUGAUGACGAGGCACUACGGUGCUGAAGCAACAAAUGCCCUGCUUCCAGGAAAAGCCUCUAAGCAUCAGGUAACAUCAAAUCGUACCCCAAACCGACACAGGUGGUCAGGUAGAGAAUACCAAGGCGCUUGAGAGAACUCGGGUGAAGGAACUAGGCAAAAUGGUGCCGUAACUUCGGGAGAAGGCACGCUGACACGUAGGUGAAGUGAUUUACUCAUGGAGCUGAA